rnacentral:rRNA from 1 species
AUUGAACGCUGGCGGCAUGCCUUACACAUGCAAGUCGAACGGCAGCAUGGAGAGCUUGCUCUCUGAUGGCGAGUGGCGAACGGGUGAGUAAUGCAUCGGAGUGUACCGUGUAAUGGGGGAUAACGUAGCGAAAGUUACGCUAAUACCGCAUACGACCUGAGGGUGAAAGCAGGGGAUCGCAAGACCUUGCGUUAUACGAGCGGCCGAUGUCAGAUUAGCUAGUUGGUGAGGGAAAGGCUCACCAAGGCGACGAUCUGUAGCGGGUCUGAGAGGAUGAACCGCCACCCGGGGACUGAGACACGGCCCAGACUCCUCCGGGAGGCAGCAGUGGGGAAUUUUGGACAAUGGGGGCAACCCUGAUCCAGCCAUGCCGCGUGAGUGAAGACGGCCUUCGGGUUGUAAAGCUCUUUCGGCCGGGAAGAAAUCGCACAGGCUAAUACUCUGUGUGGAUGACGGUACCGGCAUAAGAAGCACCGGCUAACUACGUGCCAGCAGCCGCCGUAA